rnacentral:ncRNA from 2 species
UAUUUCCUUCGGGGUCGGGUGAAAUUCCCAACCGGCGGUGAUGAGGUGUAAUCCUCUUAGUCCGUGACCCGGACGCUUUUUUAGCGGACGGUGGAUCUGGUGAAAUUCCAGAGCCGACAGUAUAGUCUGGAUGGGAGAAGGAAUGA